AUGCAAGUCGAACGGUAACAUGACUAGCUUGCUAGUUGAUGACGAGUGGCGGACGGGUGAGUAACGCCUAGGAAUCUACCCAGUAGCGGGGGAUAAGCCAGAGAAAUUUGGUCUAAUACCGCAUACGCCCUUCGGGGGAAAGCAGGGGAUCUUCGGACCUUGCACUAUUGGAUGAGCCUGCGUGAGAUUAGCUUGUUGGUGAGGUAAUGGCUCACCAAGGCGACGAUCUCUAGCUGGUCUGAGAGGAUGAUCAGCCACACUGGAACUGAGACACGGUCCAGACUCCUACGGGAGGCAGCAGUGGGGAAUAUUGCACAAUGGGCGCAAGCCUGAUGCAGCCAUGCCGCGUGUGUGAAGAAGGCCCUAGGGUUGUAAAGCACUUUCAGCAGUGAGGAAAGGCUAGUAGUUAAUACCUGCUAGCUGUGACGUUAACUGCAGAGGAAGCACCGGCUAACUCCGUGCCAGCAGCCGCGGUAAUACGGAGGGUGCGAGCGUUAAUCGGAAUUACUGGGCGUAAAGCGCGCGUANGUGGA
rnacentral:rRNA from 1 species